GCAUGAGCCUAGUGGAUAUGGCAUCUGCCCGGUAAGCGGAACAUUGUGGGUUCGAUUCCCAUCCCUGGACA